rnacentral:rRNA from 1 species
CCCUUAGAUGUUCGGGGCCGCACGCGUGCUACAAUGAGAGACGCAACGUGUGUCCUUCCCCCUUGCCCGAGACGGCUAGGUAAUCAUGACAAAGUCUCUCGUGAUAGGGAUUGGGGCUUGAAAUUGUUCCCCAUGAACGAGGAAUUCCCAGUAAGCGCGAGUCAUAAGCUCGCGUUGAUUACGUCCCUGCCCUUUGUACACACCGCCCGUCGCUACUACCGAUUGAACGGUUUAGUGAGGGCCUCGGAUUGGUCUCGGCCCGCUCUUUACCGGGCGGCGCCGUUGGUCGAGAAGACGCUCGAACUUGAUCGUUUAGAGGAAGUAAAAGUCGUAACA